rnacentral:rRNA from 1 species
CAGCCGCCGCGGUAAUACGUAGGGUGCGAGCGUUAAUCGGAAUUACUGGGCGUAAAGCGUGCGCAGGCGGUUCGUUAAGACAGAUGUGAAAUCCCCGGGCUUAACCUGGGAACUGCAUUUGUGACUGGCGAGCUAGAGUAUGGCAGAGGGGGGUAGAAUUCCACGUGUAGCAGUGAAAUGCGUAGAGAUGUGGAGGAAUACCGAUGGCGAAGGCAGCCCCCUGGGCCAAUACUGACGCUCAUGCACGAAAGCGUGGGGAGCAAACAGGAUUAGAUACCCCAGUAGUCCCUGUCUCUUAUAC